CUAGGGAAAGCGGUCAGGCUGGAGAACGAGAAGCCUGGAGCCUAUUUCUCUUCCUUUCGUGCACCCAUUUUAUUUGUAAUUAUAACGACAAUAACAAUACGAGGGAAAACAAAGAUACAGUAAAAGGGCCUGGAAUUACCCUCCUACCUUAAAUGAAUACCACCAACACCACCAACAGAUGAAAUAUAUAACAGGAAACAUCAGGCAACAAAGGACAUUGGUUCCUGACAGACAAAAAACAAACGAGAUAACACCUCUAUUGUGAAAUCUAAGACUGCCUUUUAAGAUGCUUUCCAGACCCUGCAUUCCUGUGGGCCCACCGAUGCUGCCCAGACCAGAGAGCCAUCCUGCCGAGGAGCUGACUCCCUGCAGUAACGCAGUUUCUCCUUUGCUGUGAUUUUAUCCCCGACCCAGCCUAACAGCAACGCCAAUUCCCUAAGUCCCGGGCCUGCCAAAUUCCCAGCCUAGAGCUUGUCGGGGAGAUGGAUUAAAGAAAUUCUGCUCGU